GAUGAACGCUGGCGGCGUGCUUAACACAUGCAAGUCGAACGGAAAGGCCCAAGCUUGCUUGGGUACUCGAGUGGCGAACGGGGGAGUAACACGUGGGUGAUCUGCCCUGCACUUCGGGAUAAGCCUGGGAAACUGGGUCGAAUACCGGAUAGGACCACAUUUUGGAUGGUGUGGUGGAAAGUUUUUCGGUGUGGGAUGAGCUCGCGGCCGAUCAGCUUGUUGGUGGGGUAAUGGCCUACCAAGGCGUCGACGGGUAGCCGGCCUGAGAGGGUGUACGGCCACAUUGGGACUGAGAUACGGCCCAGACUCCUACGGGAGGCAGCAGUGGGGAAUAUUGCACAAUGGGCGCAAGCCUGAUGCAGCGACGCCGCGUGGGGGAUGACGGCCUUCGGGUUGUAAACUCCUUUCGCUAGGGACGAAGCGUUAUGUGACGGUACCUGGAGAAGAAGCACCGGCUAACUACGUG
rnacentral:rRNA from 1 species